GGCAGGGGUGUUACUUUUGCAGGGAGUGCAAAAGAAUCAAAUAUGUCAACUGAUGGAACUGUGAGUGUGACUUCAGAAUUGGCUCUGAUAAUAAGGAUUGUGGAGCUACAGUUCUGAAUGCCUCUUUUAACAUGCUUUCCACUUUGUUGACAGAGACUCAGCACAUACACUACAGGCUGGAAGUGACAGAUGGAUGUUAAAUCUUUAAUGGUGGUCUAGUGAGAGAGAAAAAACUUUGGAAAAGGAAGCUCUUGCCUCAAGGUAUUGAAAUGACGAUAUUUAAGAGAUCCACUGAUCUAGACGAAAGCUAAAGCAAAGUUCAAAAUUGGAUGGGAAACAAAAAUUAAAGGGUGGAUCUUUCUAACAUAAAUGACUUGAUAUAAUUGAAGUAUCAUUUAAGGUCAGAGGGGACAAACUAGUCCACAAAGAAUUCACAGGCAAGCAAACAAAAUCAGGGGUGAUAAGAACAUAUGGCAGUAUUUCUAUGGCCAAUAUCUUUACAGAAUAAAUUUCUGUCAAGAGCUGAGUGAUGGGAGCACAUGUGCUGAGAACACUCUAAGAACAGCACUAAGUUCAUAUAUGAACUAUGCAUCUGGUUCUCACAGCUGAUUACCUGGGUGCAACACUAACCUUGUGACAGUACCACUGAAGAUUUUAAAGUCAUCUCCCUGUAUGGAGAAUUAAACUAAUGGUCUAAGGAUCUUGCAGGAUGGGGAAUCCAAUGAAGGUGCUGCUUCCAGCCUGUAUCUUUGAAUGAAGUUUAAUUUGUUUUAUCAAACUUUUCUGUAUAUUACCUGAAAAGGGAUGCCCUUAUGGAAUUCAAUGUGGACUUCAUGGCCACAGAGAAAGAGGAACAGCACUUGAUUUAUGGAAGUCUAGAGAAUCCAUGUCUGUGGGAUUUUGUAUAUUAGUCAAUGCCAUUCUCCUGAGUUCUAACACAAAUGCUCCUUUUUACCACAUGAGGAAUUUAGAGGACUUCCAAACAGCAGAAGACUUAUAAAAUAUCUUCUAAGAAAAAGAACAAAGGAUUCUAAGAGGACUUCGAAAGGGCAGGAGACAAUUCCAGGAAGCCAGGCACAAGUGUAAUUCUUUGAAGAACUAUAAAGUUUACAUACUCAAUGGCUAUGGAAAAUGAUGAGGUUGGAGGCAAGGAACUGCUUGUUUGAAAAUGGAAGCUGACUUCUGGAUUGUCAUCUCCAUCCUCAGAACAGUGAACAGGACAUUCCAGCAAAGGUUUAUUAGACAACAUCUUACGAUAGUGACUUUUGUUUAAAUGUUUGUUGAUUUCAGUUAUCUGAAUUGAAGCUUCUAAGAGCCAACAGAGACCGGUUUCUUCUAAAAAGUUCCAGGUUUUAUUGCUGUCACCAUUUAAUUUGCACAGAGAACUUAGGGUCCAAUUGAUGGUGCUCUGCAGAUGUAACUAAGUCCUGGAAAUCUUAUUGAAAUGUUUGGUAUUUCAACUUCCAGGCCAUUUGCAAGGCAGAAUUGAUUCUUGUACCUAAAUAUGGGUGAGAAUCCAUGCAUGAAUCAGUUUAAUAAAAUUCUUAUGUGAUCAAAUAGUCA
rnacentral:lncRNA from 1 species